rnacentral:rRNA from 1 species
CCCGUUUUGAAAMMCGAACCAAGGAGUGCAAGAGGUACGCGAGUCGAAAGGAUUGUAAAUGGUGGGGUUGUGGGGAGUUCGCUCCUUUCCCCUCCAAUGGAGAGACCCAAUUGUUUUGGAAAAGGCGAAGUGAGAGCAAACAGUGCCAUGCACUGUUGGUGUGAGAGCCGGCGGGAGACCGUGGGCGCAUCGCAGACCGAGCCUAACGGUCACGCAGUGGCCGGUUUCGAGUGAGAGCGUUCCUGUUGCGACCCGAAAGAUGGUGAACUAUGCCCGAGGAGGGUGAAGCCAGAGGAAACUCUGGUGGAGGCCCGUAGCGAUUUCUGACGUGCAAAUCGAUCGUCAAACUUGGGUAUAGGGGCGAAAGACUAAUCGAACCAUCUAGUAGCUGGUUCCCUCCGAAGUUUCCCUUAGGAUAGCUGGAACUCGGAACAGUUUUAUCAGGUAAAGCGAAUGAUUAGAGGUCUUAGGGUUGAAACAACCUUAACCUAUUCUCAAACUUUAAAUUGGUAAGAAGCCCGACUUGCUUAAUUGAAGUAGGGCACAGAAUGAGAGUUCUUAGUGGGCCAUUUUUGGUAAGCAGAACUGGCGAUGCGGGAUGAACCGAACGCUGAGUUAAGGCGCCCAAAUCGACGCUCAUCAGACCCCACGAAAGGUGUUGGUUGAU